GACGGAGGAUGCAAGUGUUAUCCGGAAUCACUGGGCGUAAAGCGUCUGUAGGUGGUUCAAUAAGUCAACUGUUAAAUCUUGAGGCUCAACUUCAAAAUCAGCAGUCGAAACUAAUUGGACUUCGAGUAUAGUAGGGGUAAAAGGGGAAUUUCCGGUGGAGCGGUGAAAUGCGUAGAGAUCGGAAAGAACACCAACGGCGAAAGCACUCUGCGUGGGCCGACACUGACACUGAGAGACGAAAGCUAGGGGAGCGAAUGGG
rnacentral:rRNA from 1 species